UAGGGAAUAUUGGGCAAUGGAGGCAACUCUGACCCAGCAACGCCGCGUGAAUGAAGAAGGUUUUCGGAUUGUAAAGUUCUUUUCUCUGGGACGAAAAAAAUGACGGUACCAGAGGAAUAAGCCCCGGCAAACUACGUGCCAGCAGCCGCGGUAAUACGUAGGGGGCAAGCGUUGUCCGGAAUGACUGGGCGUAAAGGGUGUGUAGGCGGUUGGUCGCGUCGUAUGUGAAAGCCCCAGGCUUAACCUGGGAACUGCAUACGAUACGGGCCGACUGGAGUGCAGGAGAGGUCGGUGGAAUUCCAAGUGUAGCGGUAGAAUGCGUAGAUAUUUGGAGGAACAUCAGAGGCGAAGGCGGCCGACUGGACUGUAACUGACGCUGAAACACGAAAGCGUGGGUAGCAAACA
rnacentral:rRNA from 1 species